AGAGUUUGAUCAUGGCUCAGAGCGAACGCUGGCGGCGUGGAUAAGACAUGCAAGUCGAACGGGAUUUUCUUUGGUAGCAAUACCGAAGAAAGUCUAGUGGCGAACGGGUGCGUAACACGUGGGCAAUCUGCCUUAAAGUGGGGGAUAGCUCGGCGAAAGCCGAAUUAAUACCGCAUGUGAUCAGGGGAGACAUCUUCCCGAAAUCAAAAGUGGCGCAAGCUACUGCUUUUUGAGGAGCCCGCGGCCUAUCAGCUAGUUGGUGAGGUAACGGCUCACCAAGGCUUUGACGGGUAGCUGGUCUGAGAGGACGACCAGUCACACUGGAACUGAGACACGGUCCAGACACCUACGGGUGGCAGCAGUCGAGAAUUUUUCUCAAUGGGGGAAACCCUGAAGGAGCGACGCCGCGUGGAGGAUGAAGGUCUUCGGGUUGUAAACUCCUGUCAUUUGGGAACAAGUGCCGGUACCUAACUGCUACCGGCUUGAUAGUACCAGAAGAGGAAGAGACGGCUAACUCUGUGCCAGCAGCCGCGGUAAUACAGAGGUCUCAAGCGUUGUUCGGAUUCAUUGGGCGUAAAGGGUGUGUAGGUGGCGCCGUAAGUCGGGUGUGAAAUCUCGGGGCUUAACUCCGAAACUGCAUUCGAUACUGCGGUGCUUGAGGACUGGAGAGGAGACUGGAAUUCAUGGUGUAGCAGUGAAAUGCGUAGAGAUCAUGAGGAAGACCAGUGGCGAAGGCGGGUCUCUGGACAGUUCCUGACACUGAGACACGAAGGCCAGGGGAGCAAACGGGAUUAGAUACCCUAGUAGUCC
rnacentral:rRNA from 1 species